rnacentral:rRNA from 1 species
CCUACGGGUGGCAGCAGUGGGGAAUAUUGCACAAUGGGGGAAACCCUGAUGCAGCGACGCCGCGUGAGUGAAGAAGCGUUUCGGCGCGUAAAGCUCUGUCAGCGGGGAAGAAACACGGUUCGCGAGAGCCGCAGACGGUACCCGACCAAGAAGCCCCGGCUAACUACGUGCCAGCAGCCGCGGUAAUACGUAGGGGGCAUGCGUUAUCCGGAGUUACUGGGUGGAAAGGGGGCGUAGACGGCGAGACAAGACUGGAGUGAAAGGCCGGGGCCAAACCCCGGGACUGCUCUGGAAACUGCCUGGCUGGAGUACAGGAGAGGUAAGUGGAAUUCCUAGUGUAGCGGUGAAAUGCGUAGAUAUUAGGAGGAACACCAGUGGCGAAGGCGGCCUGCUGGACUGUAACUGACGUUGAGGCGCGAAAGCGUGGGGAGCAAACAGGAUUAGAUACCCGAGUAGUC